rnacentral:tRNA from 1 species
CGAAGCGUAGCUAAAUUAGUAAAGUGUCUCUUUUACACGGAGCUGAUGUUUGUGCAAUUCAAACUGCUUCGA